rnacentral:rRNA from 1 species
CACGGGGGGAGCAAGCGUUGUUCGGAAUCACUGGGCGUAAAGCGCGUGUAGGCGGCCAAGUAAGUGGGAUGUGAAAUCCCCCGGCUUACCCGGGGACCUGCAUCUCAUACUGCUUGGCUUGAGUAUGGGAGAGGAUGAGGGAAUUCCUGGUGUAGCGGUGAAAUGCGCAGAUAUCGGGAGGAACACCAAUGGCGAAGGCAGCUCGCUGGGACGGUACUGACGCUGAGGCGCGAAAGCGUGGGGAGCAAACAGG